AAUAGAUACCCCGGUAGUCCACGCCGUAAACGAUGUCGACUUGGAGGUUGUUCCCUUGAGGAGUGGCUUCCGGAGCUAACGCGUUAAGUCGACCGCCUGGGGAGUACGGCCGCAAGGUUAAAACUCAAAUGAAUUGACGGGGGCCCGCACAAGCGGUGGAGCAUGUGGUUUAAUUCGAUGCAACGCGAAGAACCUUACCUACUCUUGACAUCCAGAGAACUUUCCAGAGAUGGAUUGGUGCCUUCGGGAACUCUGAGACAGGUGCUGCAUGGCUGUCGUCAGCUCGUGUUGUGAAAUGUUGGGUUAAGUCCCGCAACGAGCGCAACCCUUAUCCUUUGUUGCCAGCGGUUUCGGCCGGGAACUCAAAGGAGACUGCCAGUGAUAAACUGGAGGAAGGUGGGGAUGACGUCAAGUCAUCAUGGCCCUUACGAGUAGGGCUACACACGUGCUACAAUGGCGUAUACAAAGAGAAGCGACCUCGCGAGAGCAAGCGGACCUCAUAAAGUACGUCGUAGUCCGGAUUGGAGUCUGCAACUCGACUCCG
rnacentral:rRNA from 1 species